AGGCUUUUAUUUUAAAUCAGUGAAGACCUAGCUGUAGAACUACUCAUCUGUUCGGGAUAAUGCUACUGUGCCGCCUGUCCGGCAUGUUCAGUGUUGUACUAAUCAGCGCCUCUCUUUAUAGGGUGGAUGCACAACUCUCAAAGCCAUGUGAAUCGCCGAAACAAUGGGAGGGAAAUGUUUACACGGUGGACACAAAGACAAACAGUAUGAGGAGAGCCCGGGUCGUCUAUGACGAGAACGCCCCUCGAGUCCGUAUUACAGAAGAUAUAAGUAUAGGUAAUCAGGUGGACUUUUAUGACGUAGUGUACCUACACAAUGUGGAAUAUCGUCUCAAUCUGAAAACACGACAGUGCAACGUGACCGCCUUAACUCGCCCCUUCCGCCAAUUCGGAGUUCCCCAAGAUGCAAACUUCAUUGGCAAGGCUACCAUUGGCAUAGCGGGUAUCCCAGGGGAAAAUGUCGUCAUCGAAAAUUAUAAUGGACAAUUCAGGGACGGAACCAAAUACUUCGGUGACGUCACAUACCCAGAUUGUAUACCUGUAUCUCGCGGGGUUUACUACGAAUCGGGUUUAUCACUGGAUAGGUAUGCCGUUUUUCAAUUUUGUCUUCACCUGGUUGUUUUUCGAUUUGCUUUUUAUAUCAAGUCUUAUGACUCUAUUUCAGGUUUUACGAUAUAAAUGUUGGAAUUGCAGACCCCAUGGUAUUCAUUCCACAUAAGGAAUGUGCAGAGAAAUUAUCUGGUUCUUGAAUCAUGAAAUGAAAAUAAAUGAAUGUUCAACG
rnacentral:misc_RNA from 1 species